UGGGGAAUAUUGGACAAUGGAGGAAACUCUGAUCCAGCAAUUCUGUGUGUGUGAAGAAGGUUUUAGGACUGUAAAACACUUUUAGUAGGGAAGAAAAAAAUGACGGUACCUACAGAAGAAGCAACGGCUAAAUACGUGCCAGCAGCCGCGGUAAUACGUAUGUUGCGAGCGUUAUCCGGAAUUAUUGGGCGUAAAGGGCAUCUAGGCGGUAAGACAAGUUGAAGGUGAAAACCUGUGGCUCAACCAUAGGCUUGCCUACAAAACUGUUGAACUAGAGUACUGGAAAGGUGGGUGGAACUACACGAGUAGAGGUGAAAUUCAUAGAUAUGUGUAGGAAUGCCGAUGAUGAAGAUAACUCACUGGACAGAAACUGACGCUGAAGUGCGAAAGCUAGGGGAGCAAACAGG
rnacentral:rRNA from 1 species